AGAGUUUGAUUAUGGCUCAGGAUGAACGCUGGCGGCGUGCUUAACACAUGCAAGUCGAACGAAGUUAAGUGAAACCUAGUGAUCUUAACUUAGUGGCGGACGGGUGAGUAACGCGUGGGUAACCUGCCGCAUGCAGGGGGACAACAGUUGGAAACGACUGCUAAUACCGCAUAAGCGCACGGGACCGCAUGGUCCAGUGUGAAAAGAUUUAUCGGCAUGCGAUGGACCCGCGUCCGAUUAGCCAGUUGGCGGGUAACGGCCCACCAAAGCGACGAUCGGUAGCCGGCCUGAGAGGGUGAACGGCCACAUUGGGACUGAGACACGGCCCAAACUCCUACGGGAGGCAGCAGUGGGGAAUAUUGCACAAUGGGGGAAACCCUGAUGCCAGCGACGCCGCGUGAGUGAUGAAGUAUUUCGGUACGUAAAGCUCUAUCAGCAGGAAAGAAAAUGACGGUACCUGACUAAGAAGCCCCGGCUAACUACGUGCCAGCCGCGGC
rnacentral:rRNA from 1 species